CUUCUUUCGUCCCACUCUCUCCUCUCCGCCAGAAGCUCCCCUCUCUCCUCUUUUUCUCCGCCUCCGUCGAAGCCGUCGCAGACAUGCAGAUUUCCUUUGGUGAAGAUUUCUCUGCUUCGGCGACGAGAUGGAGGAUCGACGGAGCGACACGCAGACGAUGAGAUCCGGCUGUCUCUCCCUUCCGAUGCGCCUUCUCUUUCUCCAUCCUGAUCUACCUCGCCGGAGUGCCGAUGAAGUUGCUAGAAGAUCUAUCGUUUCUCAAUUAUUCGUUUCUCGGAGACCCCAACCACCGGUUCUUUGCCAGAAUUGGAUUGUCAAUAUAAAUUUCUUUUCUUUCUUUGCUUUUCAUAUUUGUUCCACAUAUAUUUUAAUUUCUUAAUUUCAUAUAUUUUCUAGAUUAGAUAGAUAAAUGCUUUGGAAAAGUUUUUUCGUGUCCUUCAUUGGUUUUGAUGUAGUGGAAGUAGAGGAUCACCGGCCACCAAGAAAGUUGAACGCUAUUUGGUUCAGAGGGUUACCGGGGAUGGCCGAUGCCUAUUUCGCUACGAUAAUUUCUCGAUGGGUUUUUGGUUUCAGUUGAAGUUUGCAUUAUAAAUGUUUGUUAAAAUGUUUCAGUGAAUGUUCAUUGGUUUCUCUGAAACUCAAGAUGAUUCCAAAGCCGUCAAUGGAGUUUCCACGGAAAUAGGAGAUGUUUUGCAGGAAAUAAAAAGAGUAAGGGUGCAAAUGGAAGAGAACGAAGGAUUGUCAAUAUUUAUGAGAGGUUUUAGAGAACAAAAUCGGGCCCUCUCUCACGUAUUGCAUUGGAUUUCACAAACAAGGAGGUCAACGAGAUAAAAAUACUUGUCAUCC